GUGCCAGCCGCCGCGGUAAAACGUAGGUACCGAGCGUUAUCCGGAUUCACUGGGCGUAAAGCGCGUGCAGGUGGUUUGGUAAGUCGGGCAUGAAAACUCUUGGCUCAACUGAGAGACGCUGUCCGAUACUGCCGGACUUGAGGGUGUAAGAGGGAGGUGGAAUUCCGCAUGUAGUGGUGAAAUGCGUAGAUAUGCGGAGGAACACCAGUGGCGAAGGCGGCCUCCUGGUACACUCCUGACACUCAGACGCGAAAGCUAGGGGAGCGAACGGGAUUAGAUACCCUCGUAGUCC
rnacentral:rRNA from 1 species